GACGAACGCUGGCGGCGUGCCUAAUACAUGCAAGUCGAGCGCAGGAAAUCGACGGAACCCUUCGGGGGGAAGUCGACGGAAUGAGCGGCGGACGGGUGAGUAACACGUAAAGAACCUGCCCUCAGGUCUGGGAUAACCACGAGAAAUCGGGGCUAAUACCGGAUGGGUCAUCGGACCGCAUGGCCCGAGGAUGAAAGGCGCUUCGGCGUCGCCUGGGGAUGGCUUUGCGGUGCAUUAGCUAGUUGGUGGGGUAAUGGCCCACCAAGGCGACGAUGCAUAGCCGACCUGAGAGGGUGAUCGGCCACACUGGGACUGAGACACGGCCCAGACUCCUACGGGAGGCAGCAGUAGGGAAUCUUCCACAAUGGACGAAAGUCUGAUGGAGCAACGCCGCGUGAACGAUGAAGGCCUUCGGGUCGUAAAGUUCUGUUGUAAGGGAAGAACAAGUGCCGCAGGCAAUGGCGGCACCUUGACGGUACCUUGCGAGAAAGCCACGGCUAACUACGUGCCAGCCGCCGCCGUAAGAC
rnacentral:rRNA from 1 species